GCCUUGAGUGGGGGAUAGCUUCGCGAAAGCGGAGGUAAUACCCCAUAAGACCACAGUUUGAUAACAAACAGAGGUCAAAGGUGCAGCAAUGCAUCGCUUAUUGAGGAGCCUGCGGCCUAUCAGCUAGUUGGUGAGGUAAUGGCUCACCAAGGCUACGACGGGUAUCCGGCCUAAAAGGGUGAACGGACACACUGGAACUGGGACACGGUCCAGACUCCUACGGGAGGCAGCAGUGGGGAAUAUUGCGCAAUGGGCGAAAGCCUGACGCAGCGACGCCGCGUGGAGGAUGAAGGCCCUAGGGUCGUAAACUCCUGUGGAGAGGGAAGAAGAUCUGACAGUACCUCUAGAGGAAGCACCGGCUAACUCUGUGCCAGCAGCCGCGGUAAUACAGAGGGUGCAAGCGUUAUUCGGAAUUAUUAGGUGUAAAGGGCGCGUAGGUGGCUUGGUAAGUUAGUUGUGAAAUUCCAUGGCUCAACUGUGGAACUGCAACUAAUACUGUCAGGCUUGGGUUUUGGAUGAGAAAGCGGAAUUCCUGGUGUAGCGGUGAAAUGUGUAGAUAUCAGGAGGAAUACCGAGGGCGAAAGCGGCUUUCUGGACAAAUACCGACACUGAGGCGCGAAAGCUAGGGGAGCAAACAAGAUUAGAUACCCUGGUAGUC
rnacentral:rRNA from 1 species